rnacentral:rRNA from 1 species
UUAAAUUGAAGAGUUUGAUCAUGGCUCAGAUUGAACGCUGGCGGCAGGCCUAACACAUGCAAGUCGAACGGUAACAGGAAGCAGCUUGCUGCUUCGCUGACGAGUGGCGGACGGGUGAGUAAUGUCUGGGAAACUGCCUGAUGGAGGGGGAUAACUACUGGAAACGGUAGCUAAUACCGCAUAAUGUCGCAAGACCAAAGAGGGGGACAUUCGGGCCUCUUGCCAUAGGAUGUGCCCAGAUGGGAUUAGCUUGUUGGUGGGGUAACGGCUCACCAAGGAGACGAUCCCUAGCUGGUCUGAGAGGAUGACCAGCCACACU